CCUCACAUUAGUCAUGUCUGUAAAAAGAUUUCUAAGUCUAUCGGCAUAAUUUAUCGAGCUCGUUUUUACUUGUUAGCUAGUACUAAAUUGUCAUUGUACUACACGUUAAUCUACCCAUACCUUACCUAUUGUAACACUGCUUGGUCCUCCACCUAUGUUUCCAAUUUAAGCCGCAUAUUUCUAUUACAGAAACGAAUUGUUAGAGUACUGACCAAUUCUAAUUACCGGGCGCAUACUGCUCCACUAUUUAGUAAAUUAAAAAUACUCAAUAUAUAUAAGCUUAAUUCCUUCCAUAUUGGUAAAUUCAUGUUUUCUUACCACAACCAGCUAUUACCACCUUUUCUCAAUCUGUUUAUUACCAACAAUGAAAUCCAUGAUUACAACACCAGAAAUGCGAGUUCCUACCGAGCUCAUGCAUGUAGAACAAAUGUAAUGCAGUUCACCAUCCUAUUUCAAGGACCCAAAUUGUAGAAUUCUCUCCCAGAGUCCGUCAAAAGUGCACAAACUAUCAAUUGCUUCAGGAAUAGAAUUUUGAAAUACUUAAUUGCUAGAUGCCUAAUUACGUUUUUCUUGAUCUCACCUAACUAAUCAUUUUUCUGAUCUAUAUUUUCUGUUACUACUGCUCCAAGGAGACAUCCUAUUUACAAGCCCUAUGGUUUCCGGAUGCCUCCUUGCCACCGA